rnacentral:rRNA from 1 species
CCUACGGGUGGCAGCAGUGGGGAAUAUUGCACAAUGGGCGGAAGCCUGAUGCAGCGACGCCGCGUGGGUGAAGAAGCGCCUCGGCGCGUAAAGCCCUGUCAUCAGGGAAGAUAAUGACGGUACCUGAAGAAGAAGCCCCGGCUAACUACGUGCCAGCAGCCGCGGUAAUACGUAGGGGGCAAGCGUUAUCCGGAUUUACUGGGCGUAAAGGGGGCGCAGGCGGGUUUUAAAGUCGGAGGUGAAAGGCGGGGGCUCAACCGGAGAAUGCCUUUGGAACUGGGCGGCUGGAGUGCAGGAGGGGCAGGUGGAAUUCCUGGUGUAGCGGUGAAAUGCGUAGAUAUCAGGAGGAACACCGGUGGCGAAGGCGGCCUGCUGGACUGCAACUGACGUUGAGGCCCGAAAGCGUGGGGAGCAAACAGGAUUAGAUACCCGGGUAGUC